rnacentral:rRNA from 1 species
UCCGUAGGCGGAUCUGUAAGUCAGUGGUGUAAUCUCAUAGCUUAACUAUGAAACUGCCAUUGAUACUGCAGGUCUUGAGUAAGGUAGAAGUAGCUGGAAUAAGUAGUGUAGCGGUGAAAUGCAUAGAUAUUACUUAGAACACCAAUUGCGAAGGCAGGUUACUAUGUCUUAACUGACGCUGAUGGACGAAAGCGUGGGGAGCGAACAGGAUUAGAUACCCUGGUAGUCC